UGCCAGCAGCCGCGGUAAUACGGAAGGUGCAAGCGUUAAUCGGAAUUACUGGGCGUAAAGCGUACGUAGGCGGAUUAAUAAGUUAGAGGUGAAAUCCCAGGGCUCAACCCUGGAACUGCCUUUAAAACUGUUAGUCUUGAGAUCGAGAGAGGUGAGUGGAAUUCCAAGUGUAGAGGUGAAAUUCGUAGAUAUUAGAAAGAACACCGGUGGCGAAAGCGCUCUACUGGACCAUUACUGACACUCAGAGGCGAAAGCUAGGGUAGCAAAAGGGAUUUGAUA
rnacentral:rRNA from 1 species